UAAAGUCCUGAACACAAGGUUUUAUACACAGGAUCCUGUUCAGUAAAGUUUAUGCAAACUAAAGACAGCACAGCACAACUUGAGGAACAAAGGUGAAGUUUCCGCGCAGAUGUCUGAGUACUGGAAUCAUUCUUCUUUAACCUUCCCAUCAAACUCCUGGCUGGGGGUGAGUGGAAAAUUCUAAAGAGCACCUGCUCCCCUGUGAGCAUUAGACUAAUUCACUAUGAAGCCUCCAGAACGUUUGCGGAUAUGAGGAUUAAAGGAGACAGAAGAGCCCCAGCUUCAGGGAAGGCGCAAGUUCACAGGAUGUGAUACAACACUUGUCAUUCAUCGGGCCUGAAAAAAACCAAGAACAAGGAAACAUGGAGGAGGCAUGUCAAUAGUUGAUCAAAUCACCGAAGGGCAAUUCUUAAGUCCCUUUUCAUCACAAAAGCUUUAAAAAUACUGAUGUGAUUUUAAUGACAAUGCUGCUUCUGUAGAACCUGGGUGCAAUCAAGUCAUCUUAAUUCUUCUCGUGGAAGUUGGUAAAGAGCUGGGCCACCUAGAACCUAGCAGAGAGGAGGCGAGGUUUAAUGAAGGACCUUGAUUCCUUGGCCAAAAAAAUUACUACUGGUUCCACAGGCUAUGGAAGACAUUUGAUAUUUUACAUAGGAAGGUGAUAGGAUCAAAAUUUCCCUUUAGUGAAUCUGGCAGUGCAGUUUAGAUGGAAGUGGGAAAGAGUGACCACUGGAAACAAGGUCAAAAGUCAUAACCGUAUGCCAAGGGAGAGAUGAUGGCUGGUACCUUGGAGGAGAGAGGAAACUACAGAUACAAGUCACUGACUAGGUGUGAAGAGAAAGAAGAAUCAAAGAAAACCUUGACAUGACAGAUCAGCAGAAGAUGAGUGUUCAGGGGGCUAGCAGACCCUUCAGAGGUACUGUCCACAGGCAGAAGGAAAUUCUGGUGUUUUGACAAAUGCUGCGGGUAAAGAUUUGGGUCUGGGAGAAACCAUGAGAGUGAAUGAAGUCGCCAAAGGAGAGAAUAAUAUCU
ensembl:lncRNA